rnacentral:siRNA from 1 species
UCAUCAAACAAUUUCUCAGCCU